AAAAAAAAAAGAAGCAAAGGUUAUCAAAGAGGAGAAAUAUAAUAUCCUCUGUACGAACCUGGCCACUUCGUAGGAAAAAGCCUAUUGACAGAAAUGUCCUUAUAAAGUCAUUCUCAAAGACAAGAACUCCAAAAUUCGUUAUACAUGUUCGAACUCUCUCCCUAUGUAUGUGUCCCUUUGUUCCUCACUCUCUCGUUCGUCUCUGAUCGAACUCCAUUGAUUAGACUAAAGCAAUUUAGGGAUUUUGAGCAUUUCCUAAUUCAAACUCCUUAAAAAUGCCGCCACUCACCUGCACCAAACUGGCUUUGAUCACUCUAACCGGAGUCAUCAUUCAAAUCAUUGGCCUUUCUCUUUUCGUCUUCGGCUUUUUUCCCGUCAAACCGGCUCUCACCGGCACCAGUGGCUCGGAGAGUUUCCACUUACCUAUUUGCAACUCAGUUGGGAAUCAAAGCGAAACGACUCUGCCGUCCGAUCAACUCAGAUCGUUAUAUAAAGAAUUGUCGGGGAUUCCUUCUUUAUUUGAUAGGCUAAUUUUAAUGGUUAUUGAUGGUCUUCCAGCAGAAUUCGUGCUUGGCAAGAAUGGGAAACCUCCUAGUAAGCAAUUUUUGGAAGCUAUGCCUUAUACUCAGUCAUUGCUAGCCAGUGGAUUGGCUGUUGGUUACCAUGCUAAGGCCGCCCCUCCAACUGUCACAAUGCCUAGAUUGAAGGCUAUGGUGUCCGGUGCAAUUGGAGGAUUCUUGGAUGUGGCAUUCAAUUUUAACACACAGGCUAUGUUGGACGACAAUCUUCUUGGCCAGUUUUUCAGGAUUGGUUGGGAAAUGGUGAUGCUUGGUGAUGAAACAUGGCUGAAGUUGUUUCCUGGGGUAUUCAAAAGGCAUGACGGUGUUAGCAGCUUCUAUGUUAAGGAUACCGUGCAAGUAGAUCAAAAUGUUUCGCGACAUUUGGGAGAUGAGCUUAGUAGAGAUGACUGGAAUCUUAUGAUUCUGCAUUAUCUAGGCUUGGAUCAUGUUGGACAUAUCGGUGGCCGGAGCAGUAUGUUGAUGGCCCCAAAGCUAAAGGAGAUGGAUGAGGUGGUGAAGUUGAUUCAUUCAAGUACCACUCAGUCCCAAGGAAAUGCCAGAGGGCGGACACUUUUGAUGGUAGUAAGUGAUCAUGGCAUGACAGAAAAUGGUAAUCAUGGGGGUUCUUCAUAUGAAGAAACUGACUCCUUAGCUCUUUUUAUUGGCCUGAGGAAUCAUGUCUUUGACUAUGCAUCAGUCAUUCACCAGGUUGACAUUGCACCCACCUUGGCUCUUCUAUUUGGUAUGCCAAUCCCUAAGAACAAUGUUGGUGUUCUUAUUACAGAAGCUUUUGAUUCUCUAAAAGAGGACCAACGUCUGAGGGCUCUGGAGUUAAAUUCUUGGCAGUUGCUCAGAUUGUUGCAAGCUCAGUUAUCAGGUUUACCAUGCAGAAAUUUCCCCUGUGAUGUAUUCAGUAAUCAUCAGAGUUCUGGUCCUAGUGAGUGCAAUCAUAGUGCAGCGAAUAUGCUUUGUUGCUUGUAUAUGGAAGCGGAAGCUCUACACAGCUCCUUGAAGUCUAAGGGGGGCUCUGAGUUUGCUAGCAACAAAGAGUACAGCAGGACUGCAGCAGCAUAUUACAAGUUUCUGAAAUCUGCAAGUGAGUGGUUAUCACGCAGAUCCACUGAUAAACCUGUUAAGCUACUUGCUGUUGGACUAGCAACAAUGUUUAUCUCAUGUGUAAUAUUAUCAAGCCUGAUGUUUUGUUGGGUUAGAGAAAUUUAUCUGGGAGGAAAGCGACAGCCCUCCAACUUAAAUGAUAGCAUGAAUGGCUGGUCUUUAGAUGAGACAUUCAUUCUUGGUGUUAUCUUGAUCCUUGUUACAAGUAUGGGAUCAAGUUCUAUGGUAGAGGAAGAGCAUUACAUAUGGUAUUUUGUGGUAUCCACAUUCUAUCUCUUACUACUCCGUAAAACAGCACAGUCCCUUGCACCAGUUGGUGUCCAAAGUUCUCUUGGCAUUCACAAAGUACUAAGUGGAAAAGUUUAUUCUAGAAUGUGUUUAAUCUUUUUGCUGCUUAUCUCCGGAAGGAUUUUGAGAGGCUGGCAUCAAGGUGGUGUAAACUGGACUACUCUACCUGACAUUUCUAAAUGGCUUGAACUGGCUGGGAGUCAUUAUGUGAAAUUGCUUCAGCUAAUAUCUGCAUUCCUGGUGAUCAGCAUAGGUGUAUGUGCUCUAUUUUCAAUAGAAUCAAAGGGAAAAUUUUUUCAGAUGGUCAGACUUAGCUUUCUGAUGUCUGCAUUGCUGGUUUUGUUGCAUAUCAUAAGAUAUCAGGAUUAUACAUUUUCGUCAACUAAUUAUGGAGCUACCUUAUUGGCACAAAUAAUCUAUGCAAUUCUUGGUGCUGCGACUAUGGGGAUUGUUGUGGCCUUGCCAUGGCUUAUUCCUUUUUCAACCUUUAAGAUUUGCCCUACUGAUAAUACCCUCUCACCUACUUCAUUUUUUCUUAGCAUUCAAGAGAAGUUUCCGUUGGUGGAAUUAAGAGAUUCUUUAUAUGUGAUUGGGUGGUCAUACAUAUAUUGUUGGUGUCUUCUGCAGCUGUUGCUCCAACAGCCAAUUAACUCAACACCCAUACUAUUGCUGCUUGUGCAAAUAUUGGCCAGCUUGCUCUAUUUUGCUAGUAAUGGAACCCAAUAUAAAGAGUGGAUAGAGAUUGCAGCAUUGUACUACUUGGGAAUGGCUGGUCAUUUUGCUCUAGGAAAUAGCAAUACACUUGCUACUAUUGAUGUUGCUGGAGCUUUCAUUGGCAUAUCAAGUCACUCAACAUUGCUGUCUGGCGUUCUAAUGUUUAUUAUCACCUAUGCGUCCCCCAUGUUUAUUCUUCUUAGCCUGGUAAUGUACAUCUCUAUGAAGAAUACUGCCCAUCUUGUAAUUCCUGAGAAAGCAGAUGCUGGAGACCUUCUCACGAUGAUGCUUGGUUUUCCUUGCCUCGUUCCUCUGGUCUUCAAUUCAAUUCUGUUGACUGCGUACACAGUUGUAUUGCUGUUGAUGAGGAAUCAUUUAUUUGUUUGGAGUGUUUUCUCACCCAAGUACCUGUAUGUCUGUGCAACAACCCUAUGCACUUACAUAGGGGUCUCCAUUGUGGCUGCAACUGGAAUUUAUACACAUUUGGUACUGGGCAUCCGGAAAAGAAAGCAAGUACCAAUCAGCAACAACACAAGAUAGCACUCAGAGCAAUUAGCAACCCAAUUUUGUGUUCUUCCAAUAUGGUGGAAGGUCAUUUAAUACUUGUUUCUUUUUUAUUUCACUAACUUCCUCCAUAGACGCAUUUGGUACUGGCCAUGCAGAAAAGUAAGCACCUCGCCAUUAGCAACAACACAAGAUAGAGUAACGGGCGACCCAAUCUUGAAUUCUUCGAAACCAACUAAGUUGGUGUAACUAGUUGUUUCAUAAGAUUCCCUAGCUUCCUCAAUGGAUGUGAUAUUGCAUGUAGGAAUCAGAUGAAGAAAGUAUAGUAAUAGGAAUAUUAGAAGAUACUCCUGAAGCAGUUGGUGGUCUUUGUUUACAUAAAAACAUCAUUUCUGGGGUCAAAUGAAGCUGAAUAUUUUGUUGGUGAGACAGGUGAAUGCCUAUGGUUACAUGAUAGAAAGGAAGGAUCAUUCUGAAACUGGCUUUUAAAUCUUGAUUUUUUAUUUUUAUUUGUUCUGCUUUCAGGUCAGAGUUUGUUAUUUUAGCAAAUGGAACAAUGCAGACAAACAUUGGCAUUCACACCGGGUGAAUGUUUCAUUCCAGCUUUGUCAAUUGACAAUGGGUCCACUUUCUUAGAAAGUACUAUGAGGAAAAAGAAAGAAAAAAUGGAUAGAAGGAAGUUGAUGGAAACGCUCCACAAAUCUCUAUAUCUAUCAGAAGAUUGAUGAAACAGGAGGGUUCCAAGUGAAUGGAAAUGAAGUCUUCUAAUAUAUUUCAUACUUCUCUGAUUUCAGGUUUCUCAUGAGAUGUUCUUAUUUGCUUCGUUGGUCUUCAUUCACACUUGUGAUUUCUUUUGGUAUGAAUUUGCAGAAGGUCCCCUUUAGAUUUUCCAGUAAUACCUGCUGUUGGUGAUAUUGCACAGACACAGUUUGAUAUUCCUAGAUGGCAUUAGCAAUUUCUUAUGUUAAGCUGGUCUUGCUAUGCAUUUAUCUUAUGGUCUUUGUAUCUAGUCACAAAUCACAAAUUAUUUUUCUAAAGCUUUCCUUGAUUUUAGUUGAA